GUGAAUAUGAAUUUCUUGUAUAAUCCCGGGAAUAAGGCUCGGGAGCUUCUACCAGAUGACCGUAAAUCGUCUGACUACAAGAGGGAUG
rnacentral:ncRNA from 1 species